rnacentral:rRNA from 1 species
AGAGUUUGAUCCUGGCUCAGGAUGAACGCUGGCGGCGUGCCUAACACAUGCAAGUCGAACGCUUCACUUCGGUGAAGAGUGGCGAACGGGUGAGUAAUACAUAAGUAACCUGGCAUCUACAGGGGGAUAACUGAUGGAAACGUCAGCUAAGACCGCAUAGGUGUAGAGAUCGCAUGAACUCUAUAUGAAAAGUGCUACGGGACUGGUAGAUGAUGGACUUAUGGCGCAUUAGCUGGUUGGUAGGGUAACGGCCUACCAAGGCGACGAUGCGUAGCCGACCUGAGAGGGUGACCGGCCACACUGGGACUGAGACACGGCCCAGACUCCUACGGGAGGCAGCAGUAGGGAAUUUUCGGCAAUGGGGGAAACCCUGACCGAGCAACGCCGCGUGAAGGAAGAAGUAAUUCGUUAUGUAAACUUCUGUCAUAGAGGAAGAACGGUGGAUAUAGGGAAUGAUAUCCAAGUGACGGUACUCUAUAAGAAAGCCACGGCUAACUACGUGCCAGCAGCCGCGGUAAUACGUAGGUGGCGAGCGUUAUCCGGAAUUAUUGGGCGUAAAGAGGGAGCAGGCGGCACUAAGGGUCUGUGGUGAAAGAUCGAAGCUUAACUUCGGUAAGCCAUGGAAACUGUAGAGCUAGAGUGUGUGAGAGGAUCGUGGAAUUCCAUGUGUAGCGGUGAAAUGCGUAGAUAUAUGGAGGAACACCAGUGGCGAAGGCGACGAUCUGGCGCAUAACUGACGCUCAGUCCCGAAAGCGUGGGGAGCAAAUAGGAUUAGAUACCCUAGUAGUCCACGCCGUAAACGAUGAGUACUAAGUGUUGGGUGUCAAAGCUCAGUGCUGCAGUUAACGCAAUAAGUACUCCGCCUGAGUAGUACGUUCGCAAGAAUGAAACUCAAAGGAAUUGACGGGGG